GCCCUCGUAGAUCAGCGGUAGAUCAUCCGCUCUGCACAGAAAAAGCUAUAUAAGUUACGUGGACGACGCGGGUUCAAUUCCCGCCGAGGGCA